rnacentral:rRNA from 1 species
AUUGAACGCUGGCGGCAUGCCUUACACAUGCAAGUCGAACGGCAGCACGGGUGCUUGCCCCUGGUGGCGAGUGGCGAACGGGUGAGUAAUACAUCGGAACAUGUCCUGUAGUGGGGGAUAGCCCGGCGAAAGCCGGAUUAAUACCGCAUACGAUCUACGGAUGACAGCGGGGGACCUUCGGGCCUCGCGCUAUAGGGUUGGCCGAUGGCUGAUUAGCUCGUUGGUGGGGUAAAGGCCUACCAAGGCGACGAUCAGUAGCUGGUCUGAGAGGACGACCAGCCACACGGGGACUGAGACACGGCCCAGACUCCUACGGGAGGCAGCAGUGGGGAAUUUUGGACAAUGGGCGAAAGCCUGAUCCAGCAAUGCCGCGUGUGUGAAGAAGGCCUUCGGGUUGUAAAGCACUUUUGUCCGGAAAGAAAUCCUUGGCCCUAAUACGGUCGGGGGAUGACGGUACCGGAAGAAUAAGCACCGGCUAACUACGUG